rnacentral:lncRNA from 1 species
GAAAAAAAAAACAAAUAUUUUUUUUUAGUUCAUAAGAGUUUAAAUUUGUUACUUCAAAUUUAUCAACAAAACAAACCCGCGAUUGAGCCAAGGUGUUAGUGUUAUAUCUUUUUCCUUGAACCAGAACCACAAAAGCUGAAAUUAAUCUAUUAAUUGCAUGCACCUACCUUUGGAUAGUACUAACCAAUGCCUUCUUAACAAUUCCAUUAAUUGUCCCAUAAAAGAAAAACAUAAAUAAUCAGUUACUUUCCAACAACACAUGACUGACACACUCAAUUCCUUGACCUUGUCUCCGGUCUAACUUUCCCGACAAAUGAAAAUGGAGGAAUUAAUUAAACGAGAAGAAUAAUUGAAUACAUUCAGAAUCACACACAAGAGUAAUAUUUACUGCUCAGGUAAGAUGUUCAAAGGAAAUUAUUGAAUGGUUGAAAUGUUCAAAGAUUUGAAGGUUGAUAUUGUCGAAGAUUAAUUCGAACCAACCCAAUAUAAUAUAUAAUAAAUAUUAAGUACAAAAU